rnacentral:rRNA from 1 species
GCUUGUCUCAAAGAUUAAGCCAUGCAUGUCUAAGUGUAAGCAAUUAUACAGUGAAACUGCGAAUGGCUCAUUAUAUCAGUUAUAAUUUACUUGAUAGUUCCUACUACUUGGAUACCCGUAGUAAUUCUAGAGCUAAUACAUGCGCAAAUACCCAACUGCUUGUCGGACGGGUAGCAUUUAUUAGAUUGAAACCAAUGCAGUCUUCGGGCUGGUAUUGUGUUGAGUCAUAAUAACUGUGCGGAUCGCGUUUUACGCGAUAAAUCGAUUGAGUUUCUGCCCUAUCAGCUUUGGAUGGUAGGAUAUGGGCCUACCAUGGCAUUAACGGGUAACGGGGAAUUAGGGUUUGAUUCCGGAGAGGGAGCCUUAGAAACGGCUACCACAUCCAAGGAAGGCAGCAGG